rnacentral:rRNA from 1 species
AGUAACACGUGGAUAACCUACCUAUAAGACUGGGAUAACUUCGGGAAACCGGAGCUAAUACCGGAUAAUAUUUUGAACCGCAUGGUUCAAAAGUGAAAGACGGUCUUGCUGUCACUUAUAGAUGGAUCCGCGCUGCAUUAGCUAGUUGGUAAGGUAACGGCUUACCAAGGCAACGAUGCAUAGCCGACCUGAGAGGGUGAUCGGCCACACUGGAACUGAGACACGAUCCAG